AGAGUUUGAUCCUGGCUCAGGAUGAACGCUGGCGGCGUGCCUAAUACAUGCAAGUCGAGCGAACAGACGAGGAGCUUGCUCCUCUGACGUUAGCGGCGGACGGGUGAGUAACACGUGGAUAACCUACCUAUAAGACUGGGAUAACUUCGGGAAACCGGAGCUAAUACCGGAUAAUAUAUUGAACCGCAUGGUUCAAUAGUGAAAGACGGUUUUGCUGUCACUUAUAGAUGGAUCCGCGCCGCAUUAGCUAGUUGGUAAGGUAACGGCUUACCAAGGCAACGAUGCGUAGCCGACCUGAGAGGGUGAUCGGCCACACUGGAACUGAGACACGGUUCAGACUCCUACGGGAGGCAGCAGUAGGGAAUCUUCCGCAAUGGGCGAAAGCCUGACGGAGCAACGCCGCGUGAGUGAUGAAGGUCUUCGGAUCGUAAAACUCUGUUAUUAGGGAAGAACAAAUGUGUAAGUAACUAUGCACGUCUUGACGGUACCUAAUCAGAAAGCCACGGCUAACUACGUGCCAGCAGCCGCGGUAAUACGUAGGUGGCAAGCGUUAUCCGGAAUUAUUGGGCGUAAAGCGCGCGUAGGCGGUUUUUUAAGUCUGAUGUGAAAGCCCACGGCUCAACCGUGGAGGGUCAUUGGAAACUGGAAAACUUGAGUGCAGAAGAGGAAAGUGGAAUUCCAUGUGUAGCGGUGAAAUGCGCAGAGAUAUGGAGGAACACCAGUGGCGAAGGCGACUUUCUGGUCUGUAACUGACGCUGAUGUGCGAAAGCGUGGGGAUCAAACAGGAUUAGA
rnacentral:rRNA from 1 species